UUACGGCCACAUUAGGUUGAAACACCUGUUUCCAUACGAUCCACCGAAGUUAAGCAACGUCGGGCCUGGUCAGUAUCUAGAUGGGUGACCUCUUGGGAAUACAAGGUGCUGUAAG